GACGAACGCUGGCGGCGUGCUUAACACAUGCAAGUCGAACGGAAAGGCCCCUUUGGGGGUACUCGAGUGGCGAACGGGUGAGUAACACGUGAGUAACCUGCCCUUGACUUCGGGAUAACUUCAGGAAACUGGGGCUAAUACCGGAUAGGAAUCCUUGCUGCAUGGUGGGGGUUGGAAAGCUUCGGCGGUUUUGGAUGGACUCGCGGCUUAUCAGCUUGUUGGUGGGGUAGUGGCUUACCAAGGUUUUGACGGGUAGCCGGCCUGAGAGGGCGACCGGCCACAUUGGGACUGAGAUACGGCCCAGACUCCUACGGGAGGCAGCAGUGGGGAAUAUUGCACAAUGGGCGGAAGCCUGAUGCAGCAACGCCGCGUGCGGGAUGACGGCCUUCGGGUUGUAAACCGCUUUCAGCAGGGGCGAAGCUUGUGGUGACGGUACCUGCAGAAGAAGCACCGGCUAACUACGUG
rnacentral:rRNA from 1 species